rnacentral:lncRNA from 1 species
UCAUAUUAAUAUUUUUAAAAAGUUAACUUAUAAAUUUCACAUUAUAUAAUAAUUUUUGUUAUAUAUUCAUAAAUCCACAAAUCCUCUGUAUUCAAAAUCCCUAAAUCCCCCCAAAUUAGACUUGAGAUUGAGUUGAGAGAAAAUUUUUAUUUAAAUUUUUUAUUAUUAAUUGAAUGAAUAUGUUUAUUUUUAUUUUGAAUAUUAAAUAAUGAAUGUAUUUAAUAUUAAUUUUUAUAAUCGAUUUUAUGAAUAUGUCAUGUCAAAACGUCUCCUACCAAGGAUUCCUAGAUACACCAGUCGCCAACAACCUGCGCUAUGGAGAGAUAGCACGCUAUAGUGCCUACAUAACGUUAAGUGUAAUUUUAAAAAAAUCAGAUAUACACAUAUUAAUAAACCUUGUAAUAUUAAUUCUAUCAAUUAACUAUAAAUCGUGUAAUAUAGUCAAUAAAGAGUAGUCAAUAGUUUUAAAAGUUUAUUAUUUUAGUGACCAAAAUACAGACUAAAACUCUAAAGGUUAUAUAAUUGUAAAUGUAUUGUAACUCCGGAUAGACCAUGUUUAAAAUUAAAAACAAAAAUCAAGGAGAAAAUCCAACCCUGUUUAAAAAUCCAGAUCCUAAAAAAAAUCAGAUUAGACUAUGUUUUUAGAAAUUAGAAUUAUGAUUCUAAAAAAAAAUCAUACUGCCAGCUCAUAGCAUGGGGAGAUAACGCCUACGCUAUGAACUUAAACCAUGCCUAUAUUUAUAUCACCUUGUUCCAUUCCAGGCCAGCCCAGGUAAGCUUAGACGGACCGAAGCCAAAGCCAUCCAUUACUCCUAUAUGCCUUGCUCUAAAUCGACAAAAGAGUGACCUUUCCAAUCUUUUUACGAAUUUCAGUUGAGUAACCUACUCCAAUUCCUGUCAAAGGAGUUGAUAAUUAAACAUCUUGGAUAUCUUUAGUUGGUAGGAACCAACGCCAUAGUAAUUUUUUUUCAUUAAUUGACCAAUUGAGGGUACUAUCAAAAUUCUGGAUACAGUACUACAAUUAGCAAGGUGGACUGACUUUAUAUCAAUUUUUUUUUUUGAAUCAAAACUAUCCGAUGAUAUAUAAAUUUUAAAGCAAAAAAAAGAAGUGUGAUCACAUGCGAUUUACCUUACGCUCUCCGUGUUGAUCCAACCAUGUUAUUUUACGAUCGUUUAGGCCUUCAACAACCUUUGGAAACUGACUCAAUAUUUUUUAAAACGAUCUAUGUCUCAUCGUUCUUACGUAGUUGGCUUUGGACAAUGGGGGAUGUAAAAACCCUGGUAUGCCCCAGGCAUCUUUUCCUUUUUCAAAGGAAAACUCUGCAUCGUCUUUCGAUCGACUACUCGUAAGUGAUUACUCAUAUCGUUUCUACUGCAAAAGAAAUACCAUUUCCUAAGAGGUUGGACUCUCUAUGAAUAUGAUUUUUUGGAUCAUUCCAUUAAUACACUUUACCUUUUAUACUUUAAAGUGGGUCAGAAUUUUAUUUGUUGAAUUCUAACCCACCAUUAGCCCAAAUGUUACAGUUCUCUAAUACAAGCCUCUGCCAUUACCUGUUUUAAAGAGAGAUAUGCGCAUGUAAUCAAACCUGAUUUUACAUUUAAUAUAUAGGACCAUACGUCCAUGGAAAAUUUACACCUGAAAAACACAUGAUUUUGUGAUUCUCAUGGUUCUCCACAUAGUAUGCAAUCAGUAUUUCCCCCUCCCUUUCUUUUAGCCCAAUCGACUUUCAUCGAUAUCUUAACCCAUUUAGCCCUCUAUAGUGUUAUGUUAAAUUUUCUAACGCUAGUGGUCCAUAUCCCCUAUUAGAAUUUAUCGAUUUCUCCUUUGUUUCUUAUGGAUUCCCAUACGUUUUUGUAUGUUGGUGAGGUACCACUCUCGAUCCAAAUACAAUUGUAGUUGAACCCACAUUUUAGUACCUUCUCUAUUUUGUGCUUGUUGUCUAUUAUUCCAGCCCAUAGGGCGGAGUCUACCCUUCGUUGUUUGUUUAUGUCUGUAAAUCUUCUUCUCCUCACAUAUCUCUUUUUCAUCCAUGUGAUCCAAAUAGAGUCUUGUGCCUCUCAAAUCCUUUCCAACUUGUUUAUCCUAAAUGUUUCUGCUGAUUCUAGAAAGCAUUUCAUCCCUAAUCCCCCCUCCUUAGGCAGUGUUAUUUGAACCCACAUAAAGUCUUAUUUUCUGCUCCAUAUAUAUCUGUAUGAAAUGGAUUGCAACUCCUUGAGUGUUUCUUCUGAUAGUCUACUGGACAUAUUCCAGUAGUUAAAUAUACCUAUUAUUCUCUAGUGGAACAGUUACAUCCUUCCCGCAUAAGACAACAACUUUGUCUUUCAUCCUUUUACCAUUCCUUUAACUCGAUCUAUCAGAGUGCAAUCCUUCUGAUAUAGAAUUAAUGAAGCACGAAAUCUGCUACCAGUAGGCUCGCGAGGUUGCGAGAAGGGCCGGAGGCUUUGGAGUCCACGACGCGCGCUCUACGUCAAUGUACCUGCAAAAGUGGAGGGGAAUCAACGACUCACGUAGGAGUCGGCGACUCGGGCUCCUUAGUUUGCUCUGGUGUGGAGUGUGAGUUAAGGGUGAAUGACUUGGAAGUGAAGGACCCCCAAAGACCCUUUUUAUAGGGUCCUGUGGGCGUUUUCCCAUUCAUUAGCGUGGGGCUUACUCCUUUAUGGUGCCCAAUUAAGGGUGUCAUAAUGACGUGGGUCUUCCUAAGUAACGGCUAAGAAUCGACGACUCAGGUAUGAGAGUCGCCGAUUCAGAGGUGGAGUCGCCGACUCCCUUGUGGUCAGAUCCUCGGUCUACCAGACCCGAGUGCCCUGUCUGGAGUCGGCGAUUCACCCCUGGAAUCAGCGACUUGGUAGUCUCAGUCGGCAAUUCUCAGGUGUUGCCUUGAGUACUUGACGUAGACACUUGCUCCGUACCGUGGAUGUCUUCCGGGGGUCCGACGUAAAGCGACGAAAUCCUAGUCUUUGUUGAGGGGCGUUGCUGGGAGUGACUGACGUAAUCAGACAUGUCUCACCAAGAAUCUUAGGUUAAAGAGAUAGCCAUAGGUAUUUGGUUGGAAAAGUCUUUUCACUGAACCUUAGGUUGGUCAGCAGUUCUUCUCUGCCCUUAGUUGAUUUGGAAAAGAAAAUCUCACUUUUUGCCUCGCUAACCCUUAGUAGGGUGCCCUCUAUCGCUUUCUAGCUACACGUGUCAAAGGCCUUUGCGAGAUCAACUUUUAUAGCUUCGUUUGCCCCUCCAUUUGUCCUCCCAAAACCUUUUAUCAUUUUGGUUGCUAAGGGAUAAUUAUCACCGAUCAAUCUAUUUGGAAGAAAGGCAGUUUGGUUGUUAUCGACUAGGGUCGUUACCACUCGGACGAAUCUGUUUGUUAUGACCUUGAAUAAUAUUUUAUAUGUGGUAUUGAUACAAAAUAUGAGUCUGAAUUGGUCCAUCCUCGUUAGGUUUUUGAUCUUUGGGAUUAGAUCUUAGGCAUAUGCUAAUAAAGGAAACAAAGUCACAAAAUAAAAUUUACAAAAUGCAAAUUAUAGAAGAUGGACGGGAGUGGGAAUCGCUGGAUAUUAUUCAUUUAACUUUCCAUUAUUUUAGUCUUAAUAUUUUAAUUUUAGGCAUUUAAAUUUCAAUGUUAAGAUAAAAUAAGCAUUUUUUUUUUAAUCUUUCUAAUUUCUAAAAAGCUAAAAGCUAAGUGAAUAAGUAAUUUUAUCGGAAACAUUCUAUAGGAAUGAGGAAAUAAAACAUAUUAUUUUAUUCUGAAAUGACCAGCUGCACUAACAGAAAUUCAGUUAAGUGGAGUUUCUUUAUUCUCUCUAUUUAUUGUUAAAAGGGAAAAACCUUGAAUCCUAUAAUUUCAUCUUUAUUUCCAUUUGAAAAAGAGCUAUAUUAUUCCAUUACCAUUUCAAGAAAAGGUUGUAUGAAUGAGAGAAAUGAAAUAAUGAACCAAUCCAUUUCACUUUCUUCAAUGAGAAGGAAGAAAAACACUAGAUUGAUACCUAGAAAGGUUGUCCAAAAUCUAUUUAUCUUAUAAACAGAUUGAUUGUUUAUUAAAUCUAAGGUACUUCAAAGAAUCAAAGUGUUAGUGGCACACUGGCCCAGUUUAAUAAAUCUAUCAUCGUCUUUUUUUAUAGAAAUUUAAAAAUUGAUUGGACGCUGAACCCUUUAAAUAAUAUAUCUCCUGAUAUCUAAUAUCCAUCUUGCUUGUAUUAGUUGCAUAGUUAUUCGUUGUGCUUAUGCAGAUUCAUAUGUUUAAUUUUAAUAUACACGUACGACAGAUCUCUUAAAUCUUAAUAUAUGAUCAAGACAACCAAACUAUCCGGACCGCUGACUCUAUUGCACUUAAAUGCAUAUUAAAGAGCUGCAAUUGAUCUUUACUUUAUGGCUCUAAAUCUCUAAUAUUAUACAUUUUUUAUAAAAUACUAUAUUAUGGAUUAUGGUACAGUUGGGACGCACCACAAUGCGUAUCAAAUAUGCUGAGAAAUACAUGUGCUGCCAUCAGAAUGAUUAAUAGGUGUUGGCUGCACCAGCAACAUAUUUUUCUCAGUAAUUGAAUAAUUUCUAACUGUGCAAAAAAGUGCAAAAAUCAAGGAUUUCAGUAAAAAAUGUAUUAUUUGGAUCCCUGUUUUGGUUCAUAUUGAGUCAUAAAUCAUAAUUAAGUUUCAUACUCGGAUACUCCAUAGACUGAUAGAUUUACUGAUACAUAUAUAUUAGUCGUAAGUCAUUACCAGUGGCUUUAAGCUUAAGCUACGGUUUAAAAAUAUUAAGGUUUUAUAUAUAUGAUAAUUGUAAAGAUAAGUCUAAAAAAACAAAUAAAGAUUCCUGUUGUCCCACCGGUAUUAUGAGCAUUCUUUCGCAGGUCAUUGUUUAGUAAGAAGGUCACUGAGCAGUUUAAAUAGAGACUAAUCUCAAGUUCUCUACAUUAUCUGAUAGUAAGAAGAAGAAAAAUCUUUUCUAAGAUGGCAAGAAUUUUGGAGCCUUUAGUUGUUGGAAGAGUGAUAGGAGAAGUUAUCGACUCAUUCAAUCCAUCUAUGAAUAUGGACUGUUACCUACAACUCCAACAAGGAGGUCUUCAAUGGCCAUGAGUUCUUCCCAUCUGCUGUAACUCACAAGCCCAGGGUCGACAUCCGUGGAGGCGAUAUGAGAUCUUUCUACACACUGGUAAAUAUUUAAUAUUUAUCCUUUCAUCUAUAUAUAUAUCCUUAUUAUUGAUCAAAUAUCAUAUAUAUCUAACUAGUUUCUACUGCAGAUCAUGACUGACCCAGAUGUCCCAGGGCCUAGUGAUCCAUACCUAAGGGAGCAUGUCCAUUGGUAAAGUUAAAGAUGCAUCAAAAUACUAAUGACUAAUCAGGGGUCAUUGCACUCCUAUUACCUAUCUGCUAAUGACUAAUCUAACAACAAAAUGUCUAUUUUUUUUAUGAUACUUACAUCCAAUCUAGGCUGGCUAACUAAUUAAUUUCAAUUUGAUAAUGUUCAGGAUUGUCACAGACAUUCCCGGCACAACUGAUGCAUCUUUUGGUAUGCUGAAAGACCAAAUCUACAGCUUAAACUAAUUAUUUCAGUUUCUUCAUCUCUGUUUACUUGUAUUUGUAUUACAAUUACUACUACUACUAUUACAGGAAGGGAGGUCGUACCCUAUGAGAGCCCACGACCAAAUAUCGGUAUACACAGGUUUGUGUUUGUAUUGUUCCAGCAAAAGAAGAGGCAGGCAGUCAAUGGUCUGACGUCUAGAGAUCGAUUCAGGGUAAGACAGUUUGCUGAAGACAAAAACCUUGGACUCCCUAUAGCCUGUGUAUACUUCAAUGCACAGAGGGAGACUGCAGCUCGCAGUCGCUAAACUACUAAUACAAUCUACGAACUUAAAUAAAUUUGUACUGUUGAACUGUAUAUGCCUCGCUGAUCCGUAGGCAUAUAUAUUCAAUCUGUGGCUUGCUUUUAUGUACCUCAAUUUCCAAAGUCAGUUGGAUAAUAAUAACAAUAACAUCAUCGUCAUUAUACGAUUUUUAUCCAGAUAUAUAUAAUCAAUGCAAUAAUCAAAUGCAACAUGUGAAUGAAAAAAGGGCAUUCAGAAAGUAUUAUACCAUACCAGUUCGAAAUCAUUCAUAAUAGAGAUGAUGGAAUGGAGAUGGAGAUCAUUGCAAGAUCGAAGGAUCGGAAUCCAUGGAGGAUGUGAAAUCUCCCGCCCCACCGGCCACGGCGAUAGCGGGGAAAAAAGCAUAAGAAAGAGAACGAGGCACCGAACAACCGCGAAAUUUGGAAAUUUGAAAUUAGGAUUCAAUAUUUACAGCGAUAGAGUUAAGUAACAAGAUUUAAUACAAUGGGCAAUUUAUAUAAUAAAACAAAAAUUAGUAAUGAAG